CUAAUACCGCAUACGAUCUACGGAUGAAAGUGGGGGACCUUCGGGCCUCAUGCUUUUGGAGCGGCCGAUAUCUGAUUAGCUAGUUGGUGAGGUAAAGGCUCACCAAGGCGACGAUCAGUAGCUGGUCUGAGAGGACGACCAGCCACACUGGAACUGAGACACGGUCCAGACUCCUACGGGAGGCAGCAGUGGGGAAUUUUGGACAAUGGGCGCAAGCCUGAUCCAGCAAUGCCGCGUGAGUGAAGAAGGCCUUCGGGUUGUAAAGCUCUUUUGUCAGGGAAGAAACGGUUCCGGCUAAUAUCCGGGACUAAUGACGGUACCUGAAGAAUAAGCACCGGCUAACUACGUGCCAGCAGCCGCGGUAAUACGUAGGGUGCAAGCGUUAAUCGGAAUUACUGGGCGUAAAGCGUGCGCAGGCGGUUUUGUAAGUCUGAUGUGAAAGCCCCGGGCUCAACCUGGGAAUUGCAUUGGAGACUGCAAGGCUUGAAUCUGGCAGAGGGGGGUAGAAUUCCACGUGUAGCAGUGAAAUGCGUAGAGAUGUGGAGGAACACCGAUGGCGAAGGCAGCCCCCUGGGUCAAGAUUGACGCUCAUGCACGAAAGCGUGGGGAGCAAACAGGAUUAGAUACCCUGGUAGUCCACGCCCUAAACGAUGUCUACUAGUUGUCGGGUUUUAAUUAACUUGGUAACGCAGCUAACGCGUGAAGUAGACCGCCUGGGGAGUACGGUCGCAAGAUUAAAACUCAAAGGAAUUGACGGGGACCCGCACAAGCGGUGGAUGAUGUGGAUUAAUUCGAUGCAACGCGAAAAACCUUACCUACCCUUGACAUGGAAGGAAUCC
rnacentral:rRNA from 1 species